CCUACUGUGAGCCAGUUCUCUUGCUAGUGAUUGGGAAGGUAGGUGAGGAGCAACAGGCACCGAGGCAUCCCUUCUCUCAACUGUUGAUGGCAUUGCAGAGGAGAUAACCUAAUAGUGUGAGAGAAAAGCCUUAACAAAAAUACCUUCAUGUUGAAACAGAAAGGGGAAUAAAGGGCGAACAAGAGUAUGCUAGCCAGACAAAGGUAGAAGAUUGUAUUUCAGGCAGAAGAAAUAGCACGUGUAUUCAGGAUAUUUCAAGUCCUGGUCAGAUGUUAGGUUGCAAGUUUGGGGAGAAUAGGAUAUGAAGCUAGGAAGGAGACAGGGAUAUAAGCACUACAGGCUAAAGUACUUGCCAUUUAUCUGGGAGGGAAUGGGGAGUCAUUGAUCACUGCACAGAGAUGAGAUUUUCAUUUAUGAAAGGUCACGAUGGGAUUGUAAAUGAUAUUAAUUCUCCUUGUCAUUUUUGGUGCGUU
rnacentral:lncRNA from 10 species